UACAGAGGUCUCAAGCGUUGUUCGGAUUCAUUGGGAGUAAAGGGUGCGCAGGCGGCGGGGCAAGUCGGACGUGAAAUCUCGGGGCUUAACCCCGAAACUGCGUUCGAUACUGCCCUGCUAGAGGACUGGAGAGGAGACUGGAAUUCCUGGUGUAGCAGUGAAAUGCGUAGAUAUCAGGAGGAACGCCAAUGGCGAAGGCAAGUCUCUGGACAGUUCCUGACGCUCAUGCACGAAGGCCAGGGGAGCAAACGGG
rnacentral:rRNA from 1 species